rnacentral:tRNA from 1 species
GCCGAAAUAGCUCAGGUGGGCGAGCGUCAGACUGAAGAUCUGAAGGUCCCUGGUUGAAUGCAGGGUUUCGGCA